ensembl:lncRNA
CACCUGGGAGAGGUGUUACCUGUGAGAGGUGUAACCUGUGAGAGAGAGAUCCAGAGACUGUGCUCAACACCAUGCCACACUAUACGAUCACAGAGCCAGGUUGGGCUCUACCGGAGAGGGCGAGACUUCGCCACUCUAUUGACAUACCUGUCGAGAAGAAAGCAAGCAACUUCAGCGUCCCUUUGAAAAUCAUCAUCCCUCAUUACCUCUUUAAACCUGGGAGAAGCUACCCCGCUGUUUUUGGCAACACGGAUUCCUUCCUGUGCCUUCAUGCAUUAUGAACGAAAGUGCAGUGCAGGCUUUCGGGGAAGUGACAAGCAUGUCUCGCUGAGCUCCUUCUACGUUUCAAUCACGCUGGCUCUGAUUGAAAACGCAUUUAGCCUGCUAGUAUCACGUAGUGCUUUAUGUCCCACUCGGCCCUUAUAUUCCGGAAGGACAUGCCUCCUUAGGACUUACCCUUUACAAGUAAAUAAUAUAGGCUAAUGUAAGAAAUAAGAAAUUCUUCUUUCAGGAGGAUAAGUCUGAUUAUUGGCAGAGGUGAUUUUACCCCAAUGAGGACAUAUUUGUAAAUUAACGCAUAGAUUUUUUUUAGCAAAUAUAUUACUUAAAACACUACACAGUGUCCCUUUAAUGGCCCUCUGGCCUGUUUUACAUAAACUAAACAGCGUUCUCUGUGGGAGUGACUCAAGGCUGUCAUUGGAUAUGGGUCUCAUGCUUGGUUGGCAUAUCUGUGGUCCCCUGCAUUGGUUUUUGCAUUGACAGUGGCUUCUCAUUGCAACCAAAGGAACACAUUUUAAAAUUCCCACUUAUUACUGUUUUAUUAGCCUGUCAACUGAUUGAUAAUGUGAACAGAAUUUGAGAAGGUAAUUUGGUUAUCUUAUUGUUUAAUCCUCAGUAUUUUCAUUUACACAAAAGAGGUAUGUAUUAAUAAUUUUUGGUUUACGACCAGGGCAAUGUGCAGUGGGAUGUUAAUGUACUGCCUGAUGUAUACACUGGUAUUCACAAGCUAUGGCAUGGUAAUACAUUUAAUAUGCAAAUGUUAAAAAUACUUAUUUAUAAUAAUUUUGGAAUCAAAUGUAUUGGUUUUUUUUUUAGGGGUU